rnacentral:tRNA from 1 species
UGCGGGGUAGCUCAGCUGGCAGAGCGCAGGAGUCAUAACCCUGAGGUCAUCGGUUCGAACCCGGUUCCCGCAA